GCUGCCAGGUAUUUGAGACUGAACAGCUCCAAGACAUGAAGUUUCUGCCAACAAUUUGGCACACCAUAAAAUAUUUAAAGAUGCCUUCAGGAUGUAGCAGGGGCAAGAACCAUAUAGAAAAGCAGAUGUAGCAGGGGCAAAAACCAUAUAGAAAAUCAGAGGUGUAUAGUGGGUAUGAAGCUGCCAGGAAUCUUGUUCAAAAGCAGAAUUCAAAAUCUCAAAAUAAAUAGAAUUUAUGUAUUGUUCAAUCUAUGUUAGAAGUCAGAGAUUUAAAGAGGUCCACGAGUGUAGAAAAUUUUAUUCUACCAUAUAGCAGACCUUCAAAAAUUUUGGUUGAUCAAAUGUGUCUGUCAAAACUGGUAAACAGACUGAUUUGUAAAUCUAAUAAAAGUAUAAAUAUUGUAUACAUUAUUAUUACUGUAAUACUGAGAAUAAAGAGUAGAGGAAAAAAGAGUAUUGUACUCACAAAAAAAGUACUAAGAGAACCAGAAAUGUUAAUCACCCAGGGAUGUCUUCUCAAUGGAGGAUAAAAAUCAAAUGGAAAGCUGAGAAUGAAGGUUGUCAAUGAUCUGGUGAUCUUUUGCUAUCUGUAGGGACAGCCCUCCUGCUAAUUCCCCAGAAUGAUUAUCCUAGAUUCUUCCCUCCCUAGACCAUUACUGAUCCUUAGGGGAGAUGUUAUUCUAUAACUUGCUGACCUUUAUGCUAUUGAACAAAGACCACACUAGAUUCCAGGCCUUUUAGCUAUAGAGCUCAUUCUCAAGGUCACAUGUACUUUGUAAAGAAAUUUCUAUGCAGUCAUACCUUAAGCUUUAUUGUUCACCUUGAUUAAACUGAGUGGACUGAUUGUUGCCUGGAAACCUUUUCCCAAAUUUAUUGUGGUUUAAAUAUGCUGACAAUGAACUUCCUGGCAUAAGACUCCCCAGAGCCUGAUCCAGGUUGGCAAAGUCAAACUGAACUGGGUUUCAGUCUCCUCUUUUCACAGCUCACUGCCUGCAUUGACAACUGUAGAAUUCAUCUCAAUAAGGAAAAUUAGAAUCUGCCUGUUCUGCAGCAUUGUCAGCAGUUCAUGAAGUCAGAUUCUCAGUGAAUACACAGCAGCUCUGGAAAGUUCUUCUCCAUACGUGAACACCAUUGCAGUCCCCAAAGUUUUUAGAAGUCUGAGUUCUUUCACUUGCUAGAAAGUAAUGACAGUGGUGACAUGUGGACAUUAAGUGAACAUGUGAACAUCAUUAAGUGGACCAAUUCAGCAACAUUUCACAUCCUUCCUAACUGAAAGCUUACUUUCUUUAUGGAGUGGUGGAGACUCACUAGUGCUACAAAUAGUACCUCUCCGGGAUCCUAGAAUAACUGACCUGCCAGGGGGGUUACAACCUCUAGACUAACUGACCUGCCAGGGUAGUCUACAGUGGUACCCGAACCAGCAACUCGGAGCACGGCUAACUAUGGGACGACGAUGCGCAGUCCCUUGACGACAACAAGAAGAAAAGAAAAGGUUCUGUGGCUGUAGGACUCGGACAGGUCUUCAGGACAAGAUGCUGACAAAAAUCUUGACACUACCUUGGCUAUGGGUCCUUCUAAUUUGGGCCCUCCAUAUCAGAGGAGCAACACCCCCGUAACAAUUUUUCAAUUUUACCUGGCAAGUCAUAAAUGAAGCAGGUGACAUCGCUAACUCCUCCUCCACUAUAGCCACAACUCCUGAUUGGGGCCCUUUAGAGGUAGAUCUCUACAAAUUGGUUCUGGGAGGCCAUUCAGAUUGGGGAGUGCACGAUAAGUUUCUCCCUUUAACACAGGCUCCAGAAAAUACAUACGAUUUCAAGAAGCAGCCUGGCUAUACCACUAGAUUUAGCAGGCACUUCCUCGCUUUCACACCAAUAUAUGUUUGCCCCGGAGCAUUCCACAGAGAUCGCUCCCUGGCCUCCAAAUGUGGAUUUAGUCCUGAUUAUUUCUGUGCCUCAUGGGGCUGUGAAACUACUGGGGAUACAUAUUGGAAUCUCUCUUCUUCCUGGGAUUAUAUUCAAGUUAAGAGAAAAGGCCCAAAGCAAAGCUUAGCUGCUCGAUGUGUGCCUAAUAGCUGGUGUAACCUCUUAGUAAUCUCCUUUACAGAAGCAGGAAAAAAAUUUGAUUGGGUCAGUUCUAGAGGAAUAGAAUGGGGGCUCAGUCUCCAUAAGAGCGGAAGAGACUUCGGGGUGACUUUUAAAAUAAAGUUACUAAAAACAGUCCCCCAAUCCACGGUUACCAUGGUAGGCCCAAUAAGGCAUUACAUUUUCUGAUCAGUAAGCAACUUAGUCGUCCUUCAACUCACAAACAAACCCCUACCAAUAGUUCCUCUGUAAUGGCCCCUCCCUUUCAACCCACCUUGCCCCAAGGACUUCCCUCUUUGGCUGAUCUUAUUCUAUCUAUGGUCAAUGCUUCUAUAGUUUCUUUACAUGCUAUUAAUAAUUCCCUAUAUAAGGAAUGCUGGGUUUGCUUUUCACCAAAGCCCCCCUUUUAUGAAGGUGUGGCUGCUUUUGGCUCCCCCAAUUUAACUAAUGAUACAAAGCACUUAAGGUGGCAUCCUGUUGAUGGUGAAGGUCUUACGAUAAGCCAGGUCUCUGGCAUAGGGCUAUGCCUUAGGGGACCAGCCUUGUGCUUCCCUCAACCAUUGCAGUAUACCUGCAAUCAGACAUUUAUUGUUAAUAUUUCUUUUUCUUAUAUUUCUGCACCUGAAGGAUUCUAUUUUGCCUGUGCCUUAG